rnacentral:lncRNA from 1 species
AUGGGUUGUGGUGCUGGGAAAUGGGUUGCCAGUCUCCUCGGUUAUGGCCAUCAGAACAAACCUCCUGACCCAGAAGCCUGGAGUGGAUGGGGUGAGGGUGGGACUUGACUGGCUCGUGGCUAUAAAGGUUUGCAGGGGUCGGCAGCACAGCAUCACCUUGCCCAGGGAGCGGGGAUGCUCCUGUCACCAGCUUGGGACCCCACCAGGCAGUCCAGUCCUGGCCAUUCCCACAGUUUUCCACUCAGGAGCCUAAAAUGGUCUCUCCUGGCUCUUGUUUGCUUUAAUUUGUCUUGUUCUUCCCCUCAGGAUGACACCAGGUACUGCUGUAGCUGCCUUCCCCAUGCUGCUUUUUUAAAUUUAGUGUGUAAAGGACAGUGAGUCCAGCUAUGAAUGCCCAGGUCUCUGCUAUACUUGAAACUUUUGUAGAGGGGGGGAAAAAAAGAAAACUCAAAAGAAAAUGAGUCUUUUUAUGUGCAGCUUCUGCAAAGCAAGUUGUAAAUUAAACAAAGCAGUAAUAUAUAAUGUUUCUGUUUUUUUAAUAUAUUUUUUUCUUCCAGCUGGGAACACAGAUGAGUCUCAGCUUUGGGAAGUGCACUGUUCCCGUCUGUGUAUAUUGUUAAUUAACAUUUCUCUGCUUGGGCACGUUAGGUCUCUUGCACUCCGAAAUGUUACUUUUCUUUAUAUGCAAACUGUUGAAAUAUUGUGAUCUGCUGUAUAAAAAAUAAACAAGAUGUAAACAUGAAAGAGCCAGGAGAGUUUACUUUAAAGGUUUCUUCUAAGAGGAGAGGGUGAGGCUGGGCUUGUUUGUCAGUAAAUAUUUACAUCGAUGUUCAUUUCUGCUUAAGUUAGCUGUGGAGGAUCAAUGGGGAACGCCCAAGCCUCGGCAUCUGAGCAGCAUCUCCUGUGCAACAACUCUUGAGUCACCCCACUUCCCCGUGCCUCAGUUUCCCUAAUCUGCAGAUGGGGCAAUUGCGGCACCGGGAUGGUGUGACUGGUCCCGCGGUGAGUCAUCUCCAAGGGGAAUGGCAGCCGAAACUGUACUGGGAGCCUUGCUGGUCCUGUCUCCUUCCUGAGCUGUCCUGUCCUGCCGUCCCCUGCAGUGGGAGCUCUGUAGUACUGACCUUGUGGUCACAACUGGGAGGGAGGCCUGAGAUCAAGACCAUGGGGCUGCAUCCGCAGGUGUCACAGAUCCAUCAGGCUCAAUCACUUGUCCUUUCCACUGCUGCCUCCACCCUCUGCUUGCCCCACUUUCUCAAAGGUGCCUGUGUGGGGGUGACAGUGCUGGGACACAUGUGGCCUGUGAUGAGGUACUGGGUACAUCUUGUUCCUGGGACUCCCAGGACCCAAUGA